CUUUGUACUCACCGCCCGUCAAGUCAGGGAAGUUGGGAGUGCCCGAAGGUCAUCCUUGUGAUGAACCAAGGCAAACUCAAUGACAAAGACU
rnacentral:rRNA from 1 species